rnacentral:rRNA from 1 species
AUUGAACGCUGGCGGCAUGCCUUACACAUGCAAGUCGAACGGUAACAGGGAGCUUGCUCCGCUGACGAGUGGCGAACGGGUGAGUAAUGUAUCGGAACGUACCUUUUAGUGGGGGAUAACGUAGCGAAAGUUACGCUAAUACCGCAUAUUCUCUGAGGAGGAAAGCAGGGGACCUUCGGGCCUUGCGCUAAUAGAGCGGCUGAUAUCAGAUUAGCUAGUUGGUGAGGCAAAGGCUCACCAAGGCGACGAUCUGUAGCGGGUCUGAGAGGAUGAUCCGCCACACUGGAACUGAGACACGGCCCAGACUCCUACGGGAGGCAGCAGUGGGGAAUUUUGGACAAUGGGGGCAACCCUGAUCCAGCCAUGCCGCGUGAGUGAAGAAGGCCUUCGGGUUGUAAAGCUCUUUCGGCCGGGAAAAAAUCGCAUGGGCUAAUACCCUGUGUGGAUGAUGGUACCGGAAUAAGAAGCACCGGCUAACUACGUGCCAGCGCCGCCGUAA